rnacentral:misc_RNA from 1 species
AACGCAUAUUGCACCCGACAGGCUCGCUUGUCGGGUCUGCCUGUUUGAGUAUCAGCUAACCCCAACAGCCGCGCGCGGGCCCUGCGUGCGGGCGCGGCUUGUUGGUGCUCGCGGCGCGCACGCGCUGCGGAGCUGGGCGGCUCGGUGCCGGCAACGGCGCUGUCCCCCGAAAUGCAUUGGUCAGCCGGCGCAUCGCCAAGUGCGCCGCGCCCGGGCCGUGCCGACUAGCAUGUUAAGCAUCUCGCGAUGUCCUUGCUAGCGCGGCGCGGCCGCCAACGGACGCGGCCCUGAUGCCCGAACGCACCACCCGCGCACCCGCGCCUCGGCGGCGGGCGCACGCCCCUUCACCUUGAUCUCAAAUCAGGCAGGAUGACCCGCUGAAUUUAA